rnacentral:rRNA from 1 species
GACGAACGCUGGCGGCAUGCCUUACACAUGCAAGUCGGACGAGUGGCGGACGGGUGAGUAAUGCUUCGGAACGUACCUUGUGAAGGGGGAUAACUACGCGAAACUGUAGCUAAUACCGCAUACUAUUCGAUGGGCCCAUGUGGGAUUAGCUGGUUGGUGAGGUAAAGGCUCACCAAGCCGACGAUCUCUAGCUGGUCUGAGAGGAUGACCAGCCACACUGGGACUGAGACACGGCCCAGACUCCUACGGGAGGCAGCAGUGGGGAAUAUUGCGCAAUGGGCGCAACCCUGACGCAGCCAUGCCGCGUGUAUGAAGAAGGCCUUCGGGUUGUAAAGUACUUUCGUCAGGGAGGCGUUAACUGCAGAAGAAGCACCGGCUAACUACGUGCCAGCAGCCGCGGUAAUAC